rnacentral:tRNA from 1 species
GGAGAUUUACCUCAGUGGUAGAGGGCUUGCCUAGCAAGCACAAGGCUCUGGGUUCGGUCCUCAGCUCCA